rnacentral:rRNA from 1 species
CAAUGGGCGAAAGCCUGACGGAGCAAUACCGCGUGAGGGACGAAGGCCUGUGGGUUGUAAACCUCUUUUGUUAGGGAAGAUAAUGACGGUACCUAACGAAUAAGCAUCGGCUAACUCCGUGCCAGCAGCCGCGGUAAGACGGAGGAUGCAAGCGUUAUCCGGAAUUAUUGGGCGUAAAGCGUACGUAGGCUGNUUGAUAAGUCUGUUGUCAAAGCCCGAGGCUCAACCUUGGAUCGGCAAUGGAAACUGUGAGACUAGAGAGAGAUAGGGGCAGGAGGAAUUCCAGGUGUAGCGGUGAAAUGCGUAGAUAUCUGGAAGAACACCAGUGGCGAAAGCGUCCUGCUGGAUCUCA